AUGAUCCUUAUACGUAUAUUAUAA
rnacentral:siRNA from 1 species